CAGCCAGUGCUGCAGGUCAGGGGCCGCCAUCCCCCAGAGCUGCUGUGAGACAUCGACCAGCACAUCAGUGGGCUGCUUUCCGCUGGUUUUAUUUGCAUGUAUUUUGGUCUGUUUCCCUACCUAGAAAAUAAACUCCCUGUGGCAGAAGUUUUAUCUCUCUGCUCCCUUCUUGGUUCCCAGCUCUUGGAACAGAACCAGACUUCUGGCCGGGGCUCAGUCAGUGCUUGCAAGAUGUUUGUUGGCACCAGGCUGUGCCAGGAGAGCAUCAUUAUAAACUGCUGAUCUACUGUUUCUUUGUCAAACGGGAGGAGAUAACAUGAGGGUCAUGAGAAAUGUUUGCAGACGGAGUGAAUGCCUUGAAAGUGCUGCGACCAGGUGCUGACACCCGGAGGUCUGGCUGCUCAAAGUGUUAGCUGACACGGAAGACACACGGACUUUCCCUCCAUUCCCCAAAACUCCCCUUCCCUGACUCGUCAGCUGCAUAAAAACCCUCUCCUUAUCUCUUUGUCAAGGGGAUUUGAGAAAUCUUGCUGUCUUGUCUUCUUGCUUUGGCCAAAUGGAAUAAACCUUUCUCUGUCUCCAGA
rnacentral:lncRNA from 1 species